rnacentral:rRNA from 1 species
UACGGGGGGGGCAAGCGUUGUUCGGAAUUACUGGGCGUAAAGGGCUCGUAGGUGGCCAACUAAGUCGGACGUGAAAUCCCUCGGCUUAACCGGGGAACUGCGUCCGAUACUGGUUGGCUUGAGUUUGGGAGAGGGAUGUGGAAUUCCAGGUGUAGCGGUGAAAUGCGUAGAUAUCUGGAGGAACACCGGUGGCGAAGGCGGCAUCCUGGACCGACAUUGACGCUGAGGCGCGAAAGCCAGGGGAGCAAACGGG